rnacentral:rRNA from 1 species
AUUGAACGCUGGCGGCAGGCCUAACACAUGCAAGUCGAGCGGAUGAAGGGAGCUUGCUCCUGGAUUCAGCGGCGGACGGGUGAGUAAUGCCUAGGAAUCUGCCUGGUAGUGGGGGAUAACGUCCGGAAACGGGCGCUAAUACCGCAUACGUCCUGAGGGAGAAAGUGGGGGAUCUUCGGACCUCACGCUAUCAGAUGAGCCUAGGUCGGAUUAGCUAGUUGGUGGGGUAAAGGCCUACCAAGGCGACGAUCCGUAACUGGUCUGAGAGGAUGAUCAGUCACACUGGAACUGAGACACGGUCCAGACUCCUACGGGAGGCAGCAGUGGGGAAUAUUGGACAAUGGGCGAAAGCCUGAUCCAGCCAUGCCGCGUGUGCGAAGAAGGUCUUCGGAUUGUAAAGCACUUUAAGUUGGGAGGAAGGGCAGUAAGUUAAUACCUUGCUGUCUUGACGUUACCAACAGAAUAAGCACCGGCUAACUUCGUG